rnacentral:rRNA from 1 species
UUAACAAAAACAUGUCCUUUUGAUUAUAAUUUAAGGUCUAGCCUGCCCACUGAGUAAUUAAAUGGCCGCGGUAUAUUGACCGUGCGAAGGUAGCAUAAUCAUUAGUUUUUUAAUUGAAAGCUGGAAUGAAUGGUUGGAUGAAAAAGUAGCUGUCUCAAUUUUAUUUUUAGAAUUUUAUUUUUAAGUUAAAAAGCUUAAAUUUUUUUAAAAGACGAGAAGACCCUAUAGAAUUUUAUAGUUUUAUUAUUAAUUGUUUUUGGAUUUUAUUAACUUUUAGUUGUAAAAUUAAUUUGUUGGGGCGAUAAAAAAAUUAAUUUAACUUUUUUUUUAUUAUUACACUAAUUAGUGAUUUAUUGAUCCAAUAUUUAUUGAUUAUAAGAUAAAAUUACCUUAGGGAUAACAGCGUAAUUUUUUUUGAGAGUUCAAAUCGAAAAAAGAGAUUGCGACCUCGAUGUUGGAUUAAAGUUAAUUUUAGGUGCAGAAGCUUAAAUAUUAGGUCUGUUCGACCUUUAAAACUUUACAUGAUCUGAGUU